GCACAACCUGGUUGAAUGUGGAGUUGGUUCGUCUGGCCAGAAACCUGUACAGCUUGACCAACAGCCUCAGUACUUUAUGUAUGUCAUGCCACUCUUCCUGGCCAGUAAGUUUUCCACUGAAAACUCUGCUGCCAAAUAUAUUGAAGCUGCUUGCCGUGUAAGAUGUGCCUGCUUCCCCCUCGCCUUCUGGCAUGACUGUAAGUUUGCUGAAGCCUCCCAGCCAUGCAUCCUGUAAAGCCUGUGGAACUGUGAAAGUCAGAAUAUGGAGGAAACAAGAAGUGUCAACUACCUGAAGAAAACUUAACAGGAUAUAACAGCUGCUCACUGCUAAUCUUCCUAUUAUGGCCAAAUAGAAGCUGAGGAUAUCAUUCUACUUUGUGUGCCUCAGGGUUUGAAAGAAGAAAAUGAUUCCAAGGGUAAAGACAGUACAACACGAAACUUGGAGCUCAAAUCAAAUCCUGAUAUAACUUGAUCAGAACCUUCUCUACAACUAUUGUUCAUUCUGCUUGUGCAAAAAUUUUAAUUCCCUGGUAAAUGGAAGAAUGGGGAGGGAGAAGAAUCAUUACAAGGAAUCAAUAUCCCAGAAUCUUAAGACAAAAACUUCAUCUGGAACCUAGAAUAAAAUUAAAGAUCCCUGAGGCUUGAGGAAAUACUAGUGACAGAUAUAUGUGCUGCUUUAUGUGGGAGUUAUUACCAUUCUAAGGGAGCCCAUGUGUUCACAGUUCGGGUCCCUCCCUCAGGAGGUGACUUAAGCAGCAUGUACUGGAAUGAAAAUAAAUUUUUCUUGUUGGACAUACUAACCAGGGAGUAUUGCAGGAUCUGAACAAUCCUUCCAUCUUAAUAUGGAAAAGUAAUUAUUUCACUUUUUUUCUUUUUUGAAUUAGUAAUGUUUACAGGUCAAGUCUUCUUUCCCUCCUCUGGAAAGAAAGCUACCAACAACAUUUAGUUAAUUUGGAUUUGGAGUCUAAUGGGUCUUUGAUGUCUACUGUAGAAGAAUAAAAAUGAACUGGGUUUGUUGAGUAGAUCAAGAAGGAAAAAAAACUAAAGAAGAGAGAAACAGAAUUUCCUAACUUGAAGAAGACAUGUGAAGAUUGGAAGUGAGGGAGCCGAGAGAACAGACCUAGCAAAAGACUGGUCAGCUGGCUGCACUUCAAAGAUGGGCGAGUCUCCUAAGAAAAAUGGCUACUUUCGGUAAAACCUGGCCAGAAGAAGCCAUGGAAAAGACUCUCUUGUUCAAUAAUUGCAGAGAACUAGUAACAACAUGCUGGACCUAAAUGAAUCCUUUUCAUGGGGAAAAUGAGUAUCACAGUGGUAAUUUUUAUGGGCAACUGACAACUUGCCAUAACCAUUUCCUCCACCAUUUCAUUUUAAGAAAGAUCCCCAAUCCUGUGGUGCAACUGUAAGGGAAGCCCAAGAAUCCCUGAAGUGAAAUUUUCAGUCAGUGUCCAGGAUUGUGCAGCUAGACUUUGCUUUAUUAAUACAUAAAGAAAUGGAAUAUUUCUUCUUGACUUCGUGUAUUGAUACUUCUUCACCUACUCUCUCACUCUUCACACUUUUUUAUGUUCUACAUUUUCUAGUAGGUGCAUGUAUCAUUUUGGGAGAUCAAAAACAGUUCUAUGAGCAAAAUCCAAUUGUACAAAUUACACGUGAUACCCUUAUCUCUUUGUUUUCAAUGAACACAAGCUAUUCGUGACUGGAAUUUUAGAAUGACAACAUGUAGGUAAAAUUGACGUUACCAACGCCAAUAUAUAUUUUCUCAGUGAUUCAUGGCAGUAUGUAGAACUCACUGGAAAUAAAACUAUAGCUAAUUAAUCCUAUUUUGAAAUAUAGAAAGUUUGAAGCAAUGAACACAUAGUAUUUCUCAUACACACUGUCUUUCUUAAUUGUAUGCUCCUCUAUAGCUUUGACAUGGGUAUUACUUUCCUCGACAUUAGUGUUAUUGUAUUAUUCAGCUUAAGGGAUUAAUAAGCACUACAUUUUUGAGAGGUUAACAUUUGGCAAACAAUAGAAAUAAGAGAUUUCAAAUGAAAAUGAAAACAGAAAGAAAUACACAAUAACAUAUUUACUCAGAGAAAAAAAAUGCUUUGAUGGCAAACAUUUCAGUUUUUCACUUUAUGAUUUACAUAUGAUCUUUAGAAAGCAAUCGGCCAGACGCGGUGGCUCAUGCCUGUAAUCCCUGCAAUUUGGGAGGCCAAGGUGGGUGGAUCACUUGAGGUCAGGAGUUCGAGACUAGGCUGGCCAACAUGGUGAAACCCCAUCUCUACUAAAAAUACAAAAAAUUAGCUGAGCAUGUUGGUGGGCACCUGUAGUCCCAGCUACUCAGGAGACUGUGGCAGGAGAAUCACUUGAACCCAGGAGGCGGAGGUUGCAGUGAGCCGAAGUCACACCACUGCACUCCAGCCUGGGCAACAGAGUGAGACUCUGUCAAAAAGAAAGGAAAGAAAGAAAGAAAGAGAGAAAGAGAGAGAGAGAGAAAGAAGGAAGGAGGGAAGGAAGGAAGGAAGGAAGGAAGGAAGGAAGGAAGGAAGGAAGGAAGGAAGGAAGGAAAGAGAAAGAAAGAAAGAAAGAAAAAAAGAAAGAAAGAGCAGGCAAGCAGGGAGGGAGGAAGGGAGGAGGGAGGGAGGGUGGAAGGAAGGAAGGAAGGAAAUCAGGGAGGGAGGAAGGGAGGAGGCAGGAAGGAUGGGAGGAAGGAAGGAAGAAAGGGAGAGAGGGAGGGAGGGAAGGAGAAAAGGAAAGAAUUCAGCUUCCUCUUUUUUCUUUCCCAGUGAGGGCACAUGACAUCUGCCUUGCUUUGGCCCAAAAACAAGACAAAGAAUCUGUGACCAUUUUCCAUUAUUUUUACACCUACAUUAUAACAAAUAUAUUUGAAAUAAUUCUUAUCCCUGAAUUGCUUUACCUCUUAUACCCCAACUUUAAUCAGAGAUUAAUUAAAAUAGGCUCCAUUAAGAAAUAUAAUUCAUAUGCUUCUCAGUGUACAUACAUUGGGAUUAUCAAUGAAAUAUUGAACUUCUUGUUACAUAAGUACACAGAGAUAUGUUUAUUUGUGUACAGAUAUGUAUAAUUAUGUGUGUAGAGUAUGUGCAUGUAAAAAAUACCAAAUGAUCAGUAUUUCUUAUUUCUAUAUCUAGAUUAUUAAAACUUACCUGUAUUAUCAUCCUUCUCAUAUAAAUAUGUAGAAUAAAGUAUUCAUCUACAUUUAUUAGACAUUCUUAAUAGAAACUACAUGUGUGUGUAUAUAUGUAUAUGAACCAUAUUUGUCUGUUAUCUUCAUUUAGUGUAUGCACUUGUAUUAGAGACAGCUAUUUUAAAAUUUUUUAGAUGUUUUUAUUUAAGUCUAGAAUAUGUAGAUAAAAGGAUACAGAUUAUAAUUUUACAAAUCAAUACAUUUUUUACAGUGGAAAAACACUUAUAUAACCAGCAUCCAGAUCAAGCACUAGAGCACAACCAGCAUUUCAAAAGCACCCGACGACGUUCUGCCUUUCCUUUUACUACCUCAUUUCCCCAAUAGCAACUACAAUCCUAACUCCUAACACCCAUGUUUUGCCUCAUAUUGAAACUUAUAUCAGUGGAGUCAUUUAUCAAAUAUUCCUUUUUAAAUUUUUUAAAUAAGUUCAAUUUUUAUUUUGGAUUCAGGCGCUACAUGCAGAGGUUUGUUACAUGGGUAUAUUGAGUGUUGCAUGGAUAUAUUGAGUGUCACAUGGGUAUAUUGAGGGUUGCUGAGGUUUGGGAUGUGAAUAAUCUCAUCACCUAGGUAGUGAGCAUAGUCCCCAACAGUUAGUUUUUCAACACUUUUCCCCCUGCCUGCCUCCACAGUCUUGUAGUCCUCAGUGUCUAUUGUUGCUAUCUUUAUGUUCAUGAGUACCCGAUAUUUAGCUUCCAUUUAUAAGUGAGAACACAUAGUAUUUGGUUUUCUGUUCCUGCAUUAAUUUUCUUAGGACAAUAACCUCCAGCUACUACUAAGUUACUGCAAAGAACAUGAUUUCAUCCUUUUUAAAUGACUGUGUAGUAUUCAUAGGUGUAUGUGGAACACAUUUUCUUUAUCCAAUCCACCAUUAAUGGACACCUGAGAUGAUUCUGUGUCUUUGCUAUUAUCAAUACUGCUGCAGUGAAAAUAUGAGUAUAUGUUUGUUUGUUUUUGGUAGAACAAUUUAUUUUUGUUUGGGUAGAUACCCAUUAAUGUGCUUGCUGGGUUGAAAGGUAGUUCCAUGUUAACUUUUUUGAGAAAUCUCCAAAGUGUGGUUGAAAUAAUUUAUAUUACCACUAACAGUAUAUAAGACUUUUCAGGCCGGGCGCAGUGGCUCACGCCUGUAAUCCCAGCACUUUGGGAGGCCGAGGCGGGUGGAUC
rnacentral:lncRNA from 10 species